rnacentral:piRNA from 1 species
UACCCUGUAUCAAGGCCUGCACACUGCAC